GGUUAAGAUACAUCUUCCCACUUACCAUGGCUCGAAAUUUGCCACAAUUAUGGAGGUUGGAUAUAUCUGACUGCGAGGAAUUGGAGCAAAUAAUCGAGUAGGAUCGAACUUCAUCACAACCUCAUCUCCAAGCUGUUUGCUUUCCAAAUCUGAUUUGGAUUACAAUUAGGAACUGUGAAAAUUUGAAAUGUCUCUUCCCAAUUACUCUUGGUCAUAGCGGCCUUCAAAAACUGGAAAAUAUAAUCUUUGGGAGGGUUUCCAAAUUAGAACCGGUGUUUGAAGGAGAUGAGCCAAAUGUGAGUAAGGAGGAAGAGAAAGUGAUACACCUACUUCGAUUAACCGACUUACAGCUUGAUGGGCUACCAAACCUCGUGAGCUUCGGCCCUGUGGGUUAUCAUUUUGUUUUCCAAUCUUUGUUGAUUUUGCGAGUAGUAGAUUGUCCCAACAUAACCACAAGAUUUAGUUUUGAUUCGGAGAAAUCAGUGCAUGCCAAAACACAGGCAUGCCACUUAGUUGAUGAAAUUAUAGUGGAGGAAUCUGCUACAGCCCAAGAAACUAGAUGGCCAAUUGGUAGUGAUAUACAUUGGUUGAAACAUAUUUAAAGAUGGUGGAAUGAAAAAGUCACUGCUCUAGUAGAGCUUUCUGAAUAGGAAAAUGAAUGGAGAAGUAAAUGAAGUCAGUUCUAUUUAAGGAGUUAAUUUCAAAACUCAUCAUUGUGAAUGUUUAAAUUGAAUGCCAUUUAUUGGUUAAGUCA